AGUGAACGCUGGCGGCGUGCCUAACCCAUGCAAGUCGAAGGUAGUGGCGCACGGGUGAGUAAUAUAUAGCUAAUCUGCCCCUUGCUGGGGGUCAACACUUAGAAAUGUCUCCUAAUACUCCUAACCAAGGGAUGAGACUAUAUCGUAUCAGCUAGUCGGUGGGGUAUCGGCCUACCUAGGCUAUGACGCCUAACUGGUCUGAGAGGAUGAUCAGCAGACUUGGACCUGAGGCACGAUCCGAGAACCUACCGGAGGGAGCAGAAGGGAAUAGUGCGCAAUGGGCGUGUACCAGACGGAGCAUCGCCGCGUGGAGGAUUACACUUUUCGGAGAAUAAACUCCUGUUGUUAGGAAAGCGGUACCUAACGAAUAAGCACCGGCUAACUCCGUGCCAGCCGCCGCGGUAAUAC
rnacentral:rRNA from 1 species